CAAUUCCCAUGAGAGGCGGCUAGCCACCGACUCUGUAGCGAACCUGCGUGCAUAACCCGCAAGGGUGUGUAUGAAGCCAGGUGUAGCGAGUGUGCAGGCCGCGUGACUGAGUUCCGAAAAGAUAUGGUUGUGGUCCAUGAGGAUAACCGAGCGCGAGCUUGGGAAAGCCGACGGCAUCAAGGCGCCGGAAGGCUGUAGUCCUUGGAGCGCUAGGGCGAGCGACGAGGACACCACCGGGAUCGACGAGCG
rnacentral:ncRNA from 1 species